CUGGAUCUCCAUCAUACCUGAAUUGCCUUUAGAAGAUUUAAUUAUAUGCAUGUAAUUAUAUAUGCAUACUUAGUAUGUAAUAUAUAAAAAUUAUAUAUUUUUAUAAAAACAAACUGUGUAAUUCUAUUUGUAAAUGUACGUACAGCACCUAUUUAAUUCAGUUGCACUUGAGUAUAUUGAGGGAGUGUUGAUUGGUCACUAGAGUUGCUAAUUCUGUGUUAUUCUGAGUUUCAGUGACACUUGGGCUGGCCACUGGCGAAGAGCAGGGUUGGCUUGCCACAUAAAAGUCUUUUCACUGACUCAGUACGUGUUGAGAAAACAAGUAUCGCUUCCAAAGUGUGAAGUCAAGGUGCACUGCUGUAUAUCUUCCUUAAUGCUCUGCUCAGCUAUGUUAUGUUGAUGCUCUUUAAUAUGUAUGUAUAGUCAAUAAAAUAGGUGUUUAUUUGAUUCAAAGCGGCUUUUGAAGCAGGGUAAUUAUUCAAGUGUAAAUGAUCUUGAGUGUUCCUCUCUUACUGAAAAAUUGCCAAAAGGUUGACCUCAGGCUUUUCUACUGAGAUCAAGUGAUUUUUGGCAAUUGAUGUUUUUAUCUUCUCUGAAGAAAACUGUGAAUGUGGUUUAGGACCUUCUCUUAGCUCCAGUGUUCAUUGCAUCAUGAUCCAGAUGUUGGUUCAGCUUUUGAAAUUACUUCCCGUCUUGGCACAAACUGAAGCACAGAAAGAAGAGAUCUCACCGACGAUAACUUUGAGUCUUUAAAGUCUGACAUUUUCUUCAUUUGUGCAGCUGAGAAAUUUUGUCAUUGUGCCAGGAAACAGCACAUGUUCAAGCUUCUUGCAGGAAGAGCUGGUCAGAGAAUAGCUGAUUUUUUUCAGAGGGCGCUGAAGGUAAAGAAGGACAGCUGGGACUCCUGUUUUUACUAGUCAGGCAAUCAUCUGUCAGUGACUUGGCUGCUGCCCAUGCCUCUCCUUAGGAUUUUACAAGCUACAUCUGUGUGACGUAUCUUGACCAGAAACCAAACUUAGACUAAAAAUAAUUCCCUAUUAGUGAGUCCUGACUGUAAUUAUUGUUACUAUUUUGUUUUAUAAGGGAACUGUUAAUUAAGUUAUUAGCAAUAACAUUCUGAGUUUAUAUUUAUGAUUAAAACCUGG
rnacentral:lncRNA from 1 species